AAGAGGCCUAAAGGGGUGUGUGUGUGUGUGUGUGUUAUGUGUGUGUGUGUAUGUGUGUGUGUGCACGCACACGCAUGGCCAGGAUUGGUGUGUAAUGGGCGCUCUGGGCAUGUUGCUGCUUGUAUGGCUUCUUUGGCCUCUGACCCUGCUGCCCAUCCUUUUUCUCCCAACACAAACGAGCUGCCUCUCCUCCUCCCUGCCUGGGGAGCCCAGGGGCCAGGGAGGGGAGAGGUGGAGCCAGAGUGCUAACCCUGUGACAUUGUAUCUCAGAGACCUAUCCAAGCCAGCUGGGCUGAGCUCAGACAGAGGGAGAAACACUGGAAGUCAAUAAAGCUGUUUUGAGAGCUCA